GACAGAGGGUGCAAACGUUGCUCGGAAUUACUGGGCGUAAAGCGCGUGUAGGCGGACCGGAAAGUCGGGCGUGAAAUCCCUGAGCUCAACUCAGGAACUGCACUCGAAACUCUCGGUCUAGAGUGGUGGAGAGGGAAGUGGAAUUCCUGGUGUAGAGGUGAAAUUCGUAGAUAUCAGGAGGAACACCAGUGGCGAAGGCGGCUUCCUGGACAACAACUGACGCUGAGACGCGAAAGCGUGGGGAGCAAACAGG
rnacentral:rRNA from 1 species